CUUUCCUAAGUUUUGUAUGUGAGGAAGAAGUCCCUAUGAGUUUUUUUGUUUUGCAUCUACUCUACUUUAGCAGCCAGGAUCCGGGUUGCAUUUCGCUUUCUUAUACUCAAUCAUACACAACAAUCUUGUCAUAUUGGACUCCAAAAACCCUACACAAGCCUAUUAUGGCUUUCCUAAGUUUUGUAAGUGAGGAAGAAGUCCCUAUGAGUUUUUUUGUUUUGCAUCUACUCUACUUUAGCAGCCAGGAUCUGGGUUGCAUUUCACUUUCUUAUACUCAAUCAUACACAACAAUCUUGUCAUAUUGGACUCCAAAAACCCUACACAAGCUUAUUAUGGCUUUCCUAAGUUUUGUAUGUGAGGACGAAG
rnacentral:lncRNA from 1 species